rnacentral:lncRNA from 1 species
GUCGAUCUUUCGUAGCGCUCUCUGCUGAGUCACGUUGGCAACCGCUGAAGGUCAAGUGAGAUCAGCUGCUUUGUGUUUUUGUGUGUUCGUGUGUGUUCGCAAUGUUUAGACAAAAUUUUUAAUUAUUACUGAAUUUAGUGCUAUUUUUAAAGAUAAUAGGAUCCCAGGAAUAUCGUUGACAGUCCGUUUCCUUUAUCCACUCAUCUACCAGGGAAUACAUUUUCUUGUUUGCGCUGCUUAUGCGUUCAUUUUCACUUUCAAAAAUCAUUCUCUCUGAUGUGUUUAUUGUUUACCUCUGACGGUGGUGGUUUAAGAAGAGGCUCCCUAAGGAGUUGAAUUUUUGGGGGAACACAUUCUACUCUUGAUCAAAAAUGGAAGAAAAGCCAAAUGGUCCUCAGCCUGGACCGACUGAAGCUCAAAAGGACAUGGUAUGGAGUGGUGACUCUGAUUUGUUGGAAGAGUGGAACUUCGUUGUCCACACAAAUAAGCUCAAUGCAACGGAGGAAACAGCCAGCGACGGAGAAAGUGUGGAAAUUCUCUCCAGAGAAAAAAUAGGAGACCCAGCUGUAGAAGCAGAGGAGCAUCGGAUUACUGACGAAUCUAAUGAUGGUGAUCAGAUUGAUAGUGACAAUGAGUCGAAUGCUGAUGAUGAAGAAGGUGACGACAAUCUCCGUAGUGAGGAUGAGGAAUGUAAUAAUGCCAAUGCUAAUGAUGACCAAACAGGAGAGUCAUCCACUCAAAUUGUUCCUGCCGGUAUUUUCCCAGAAGAAAACCUGAUUCCCACCCAUCCCGUGGAAACUGCUCUUGACACUGUCUCAGCCAGAUCUGAGUGGGAACUUUCACCGGAAAGCCGCAUAAUCAUUCUCCUUGCUGGAGUAGUUCUUUUCAGUGGAUGGCUCCUUUUUUUCUCCCCUUUUCGAUCCCAAGAGAACAUUGACAAAAUUAAGCUUGAAAAUGAUUUGAAAUGGCAAGCCAUGAAUGAAAAAUACUCCAGUCUUAUGCAAGAACUAGCCAUUUACAAAAUGAAGUCUCAGUUGAUAGACUCAUCCUUGAAUGAUUUGAAGACUCUUCAAAAACGUGGGAAAGCUGCUAGUUGUCAAUUUGAUGAUGAAAAAUGGCAACAGAUGCAUGAAAAAUACCUUAAACUAGAGAAAGAUUUGACCCUAUUCAAAGAAAAGUCUGACCCCUUGGAUGAUGUGAAAAACAGCGUUAGAAAUCGUAUGAAGUAUCCCGAUUCAAGCUUUUCUCCUACGAGUAGGAACAAAAAUUCAGAUUGCGGCUCCGACAAGUCAAGUUACUGUAUCAAAGAUGGAGAAGAUGUUCCGCAGCACUCCGAAAUACUGAGACUCAUCAAACAGCUUGACUCAAGACCAGAGCUUGACAAGUCCUCUCAUGAAGUAGGUGAAGAACCAGAGUUCUUUGAUCUUAGGGGGAAAUUUUUUAACAUUAAACGUGCCUUUGAAAUCUCAGAUUCAAAAUCUUUUGAAGAAGAUUUUGAAAAAUUGUAUGAAGUUUUAUCUGUUGACAAAGAUGAUUUCAUCGGUAUAGAUCUGAAUUUAAUUACUAGGUACAAUGAAGAGCUUUACGAAAGUUUCCUGGCAUUGAUGGAUGUAAGUGAAAAAUUUACAAAAUAUCUGAAGAACACGGACCCUAGAUUCGCUAAUGACUUUGAUGACCUGGCUCGUAUCUCGUACGAGUAUAUUUUAAGUAAUUUGCAAAAGUCCAAUUAUAACGUUGCAAAAUUGGUAAAUAAUUAUGACCAUUUUGCCAAAGCUGUCUCCAUUGAUAUUGGUUAUUCCUCCAGGAGGUUCGGUCAGAAACGACUGAAAAGAGAAAGAGAGUGGAAGUCAAAGAAUGGAGGGUCUAAAGAAAGUUUUGACGAUAACCACAAGAGAAAGUCUAAAGAUAAAGAAGAAUCAUUCCAUGUAAAUCCUGAGUUCUUAACUAAAUUGUCCAACGAAGUAUUAGAAAACUUUCAUCGAGUCUCUGUAUUGAAUGAAAAAAUUAGAGAGCUUUUGGAAAAAAUCCCGCAGUCUGUUAAAGAUGCCGAUAAUUAUGUUCAAAUUGUCAGUGACCGCAUUCGGAUUAAUUUAAAUGAUGCGGAUAUUGUUUUGUCACGCUUCAUAAGUUCAUUUGACAGCCUGUUGAAGAAGGGUAAAACUGACGAUUCUGUCAAAAACAACCACAGGAAAGACUACAAGGAAAAAGAAGAUUUUAAAGUUCAUAAGAAAAGAAGCUCGCAGGAAUCUUUCCAUAAUGAGCAAGAAAACUUGAAAGUUUACAAGAAAAAAAGUACUCCAGAAACCUCUCAUAACCAUCCUAAAUAUGAAAGUAGGUCUAAUCAAAGGAGAGACAGUCAUCAACAUGAAGGGAAUGAGGGAAGCAGUGAAAGUAGUGAAGAUCAUGAAGAGAAACUGAGAGAAAGCUACGAGCAAAAUGAUGGUAAUGUCUUCAAGUUCAUUAAGUCAAAAAUAAAUAACUAUCAGAAAUUUUUUACCGAUAAGGCGGCUAAUUUUAACAAAAAACUGAAAAACCACACAAUGCGGGUGAAAGAAAAGUUUCAGAAAAAAUUCAAAUCUGUUUUGGACUUUGAAAAGGCAAAGAAGUUGAACGAAAAGAUAAUGAGCCAUGGGUCAAAAAUAAAGAACAAGCUGACACAGAAAUUCGAUUCUCUGUGGGAUUCUGUCUCAAAAAAAUUGAAGAACGCAACUAACAUGGCCGUUGCAUCAAGUGAGUGGUUGUUUGACUUCGGAGACGACCAAGAUAAGCGAGACUCAGCCGAGAGUAAAGAGGAGGCAAAUGUUGAUCUAAAUAAUAACAACUGGAUGUUCAAGAGAGCUGAGUUCCGUAAUUCCAAGCGAGAAGACACAGCAUAUUGGUAUUUCAGGCGAGGCAAUGCUCGCAGACGUAAUGUCGAGAAAUACAAGGAGCUAUGA